ncrna:Paenarthrobacter aurescens TC1 Actino-pnp RNA
CGCGGUCCUCGGUAGUGAUUCCCGGGAAACCAUCUGUGACGAUGAUGCCCGUGGAUCUCGAUCGAUGACCGGG